GCCGGUGCCGACGUAGUUCCCUAACUGGUCAGCUUUACACAAGCUUGGUUUUGUACGUGUCUUCCCCAUGUCUACGUUUAGUUGCCAUGCCGUUUGUUUCUGUUUUGUUCUGACGACUGUACCUUCUGGAGAGACAGUGUCACUAGAAGGCGAGGCGGUGGGGAAUUCUGAGGUGUGCAGGCCUCCGGCAUCCUACUCGCAGGUUGGCUGGCGCGCGCCCCGAGGGCUGUGCCCUCUCGUAUCUUCCAUGGUUCCAGGAAUCUGAAUCAGUGUGACAGUGCCUAAACUCAUCAUAGGACAGUAUCACACUUACUGUUACAGAACAGGAUGGCAGUUAUCAUUAUAAUGGCUCUAACAUUUGGGCUUUCACCAUGUGCUAGUACAGUGCUAAAUUUUACACGGAUUAUCUCAGUUAAGCCCACGAACAGCCUGAGGAGAAGAAAGGCCAUGUCUGAAAGUGGCAUCUACAAAUCAGGAAGAGAGCCCUCCCCAAGAACUGACUGGGCCAGCACCCUGACCUUGACUUCUCAACCUUCAGAACUGAUGCUGACUCUGAAAACCAAAGAGCUGCCUGUUUAUU